UAAAAAUAAAAAAUAAAACACGGACACACCCACUAGUAAACACGCUCACUUGUUUGUGGCUUUCACUUUUAUCCAGAGGUCGCCUUCUCUUUCUCUCACACACAAGCUCAAAGCUCAGAGAUUCCUCCCCCUCCUCUUCUGCUUUUUUCUCUUCCUCACUGGCAAUCAUGAGUGACAAGGGAGACAAGACAUGCCCAUUGUGUGCUGAGGAGAUGGAUUUGACUGAUCAGCAAUUGAAACCAUGCAAAUGUGGUUAUGAGGUCUGUGUUUGGUGCUGGAAUCACAUUAUGGAAAUGGCCGACAAGGAUAACUCCGAGGGUCGCUGCCCAGCGUGUCGUACACCUUAUGACAAAGAAAAAAUUGUGGGGAUGGCAGCAAAUUGUGAAAGGCUAGUAGCUGAAAUGCAUUCAGAGAGAAAACUGAAGUCCCAUAAGGUGAAGCCAAAAACAUCUGAUGGAAGGAUGCAUCUAAGCAAUGUUAGAGUCAUUCAAAGGAAUCUAGUGUAUAUAAUUGGAUUACCUCUUAAUCUUGCAGAUGAAUCCCUUCUUCAGCGAAAAGAGUACUUUGGCCAAUAUGGAAAGGUUCUGAAGGUGUCUAUAUCUCGAACCGCAACAGGGGCAAUUCAACAUGCUGCAAACAACAGUUGUUGUGUGUAUAUAACAUAUGCAAAAGAGGAUGAAGCAGUUCGUUGUAUUCAAUCAGUGCACAGUUUUGUCUUAGAAGGUAGAUCCUUGAGGGCAUGUUUUGGAACAACAAAAUACUGCCAUGCAUGGCUGAAAAAUACGCCUUGCAGCAUUCCGGACUGUUUAUAUUUGCAUGAUUUUGGCUCUGAGGAAGAUAGUUUUACAAAAGAUGAUUUAGUUUCAGCCUUUACAAGGAGUAGAGUACAACAAAUUGUUGGUGCUACAAAUAAUUUGCAUCGGCGUUCAGGAAAUGUUUUGCCACCCUCAGCAGAUGAAUCCACCAAUAGGAACAUAUCAUCCACGGCCAAACUUGAUGCCAAUGCUUCUUCAAAUCAAAAUAUUGUGAACUGGGAUAGCGGGUCAUGUGCGGAUAGUGGUGCUGGAAGAUCCAAUACACUUCACGGGGCAUCUUCAUGGGUUACGCGUGUCGCUGGCAGUUUGCCACCAGUUACAAGUUUGUCAUCAUCAGGUGGAACUCCCAAUCAUAAACCUGAGACAUCACAUGGGGACCAUGGUCUUGCGCCAGAAGUUGUGAUCACCAAAAGUUCUGGUGAUAUAAAAAGAACCAUACCUGAAGGAAGCUGUGAAGUGCAUCCUGCCAAUCUAACAUUGAUUGACCAUUUUCCUUGUCCUCCAGCAUCUCAGGACAGUGCUAGUGAUACUGAUGAACCACCAGCUGGAACUAGCCCUUCAAAAAUCACUAAACUGUCCUAUUUUACUGGUCUGGAUGAAGAUGAAAAUUUUCAUGCAGAUGGGAACUUGCAGGGACUAUGCUCUGGAUUAUCAUCAAUUAGCAUUGAUGAUCACCUUAAGGAUGAGUACCGUGAACCUGUUACUCCAGAUAUUUCAAUUUCUAAUCAUAAACUGCCCAAAAGUCAAGGCUCACAACCUUUUGUGAGCGAGCCACCUAGUAAUUCUUCAUCCUCGCCAACACUGAGAGAAUGUGCAAUUGUUGAGGAUUUACUAUGUUUUGAUGAUCGGGAAGUCCAGGGCUUUGGAAGCAUCCAUCAUGAACCACCCAUUUCAUCUUUACUUUCUCCAAAACAGUAUUUGGAGCAGUCAACCUAUCAUUCCUGGCAGCAAGGCGAGAAUUGUCAAAGCACUAUUGAUGUACAUCCAAGCAUUGUUCCUGCUAAGCAUGAUGAGGUUGCUUUUCCAUUCAGAUCUGGCAACACUGUUUUGUCUAAAGGGUUGCAUGACAGGCAAGCUAAUGGCCUUUUUGAGUGGGAUAGGUCUUCUAACUAUUCUAGUGUCUUGUCAGAGGUAGGACCGGGGAAGUGCUUGGAAGAACAUGGUAGUAAUGUAGCUAGUAUUGACUAUAAACUUGAUCUAGAUACAGAUGAGAGCAGCAUUAUCUCAAAUAUUCUAUCCAUUGAUUCUGGUGUAUGGGAAGAUUCGUUGACAUCACCUCAGAGUUUUGUCAAGUUGCUGGCUGAUAAUGAUAAACAACAAAGUUGCCGCAAAAUACCAUGCAUGCGAAAAGCACAGGAGAGUAGUCAAUCAAGGUUCUCAUUUGCCAGGCAGGAUGGUUUCUCUAAUCAUUUGUCUAAUUUUGAGCAUUCACUUGAAAAUGCAACAAAUAAAUCUUCUUCCUCAAAUUAUAUUAUUGAAAACAAGGAUCCUUGGAUGGACAAUUAUCGUGGCAUCUCUUCAAAUAUUAGUUCCGUGGAAUCAAAUGGUUUCCUCAGCAAGCAUCCUUUUACAUCUAGUUUUUCUGUUUCCAAAACUUCCACUUCUCCCCCACCAGGAUUCUCAGUGCCAAGUAGAGUUGUACCUCCAGGCUUUCCUACUCAUGGGGCAAUGCACUAUGAUUUUGACCAUUCUGCAAAUCAUUUUCUACAAAACUCUGCACCACUAUCUCGGAACAUUGGCAUCUCUGGGGAUGUUGAAUUCAUUGAUCCUGCAAUAAUGGAAGUUGGCAAAGGAUUUCUGUCAGCAAGGCUGAAUAAUCCUGGCUUUGAUGCAAAGCCAGCAUUAUCUCCUCAUUUUAGUCCUUUUGAUCAUGAUUCAGAGCUUCAGAUGCUGAUGCGGCAAUCAAUUUCUGCACAGCAGAACAUGAGGUUAUCAGAUCGCUUCAGGAAUAGAUUCUCUCCCCCAGAUGAUACUUACUCCAUUUCACCUGUGCUUCUGGGUCAAUCCCCGCCCAACAAACCUUCAUCAUUUACACAGUUGACGGCUCAACAGCUUAGAAAUGUGCACAUCUCAAAUGGCAGUUUGGGUGGUUGGAAUGAGGUAAAAAAUGUUAGUGAUCCUUGUAUGCCAGAAUUCCUAGGAAAUGGAGGGAUGGGAUUUAGCAAAUUUGUUCCUAGUUAUGAGGAUUUGAAGUAUCAGAUGUCUGGUUCCAGCAAUCUAUACAACCGAGGAUUUGCAAUGUGAUUUCUGCUGGGGAUUGGAAUUACUCCUUUAUGCUUGAAUAGGCUGAUGAACUUAACAUAGUGGUUAAUUUGGUGCGUUCUAAGGUGCCCUUGGAUGAAUAUGUUUCAGUUUCUUUGUGUUGGUGCAUAUUGGUUGUUGGCAAACCCUAGUCAGGUGUAUUCUUUGCCUCUCUCAUGACCAGGGACUUCUAUCUUCUAAUGGAGCGAGUGAAAAGGCAGUUUAUUGUCAUGGCAGAAUUCAGUGUGGGCUGCAAGGGAUUCCUAUGCCUCGAGUGACUGGGAUUGCUCUUGGCUUCACUCUCUGUGGUACAUCUGAGUUGAAUGGUUAUUCCAUUUAAUCCAGAUUCAUGUUCAUCAUGCAUCAUUAUUGACAUCUUUUUAUCCACAUGAAGAGGUUAGCUGGGAAAAGAACACUGGUUUUAACAAUGCACAUUUUGGCAGUUUUUUAGACUUGGAGUGAAUCUGUCGUACUCACGUCUUACAUGAAUAAAGAAGGUAUUUGGUAGUUGCACCUAAUUCAGAUAUGUUCAUCAUCUUAACAAAUAGGCCCAAAGCUAGAGUUCAAAUGGAAAACUGAGGCUUCCUAUAGAUAAUAGAAAAAUGAAGGUCUUCGUUUCUUUCCUUCCUUUUUUUAAUGUUGCCUUAUAUGAAUGAAAACAGAGUUUAAACUAUUGUUUGUCUCCCGUUUCUUUCUCCUCCCAUAAUGAGUUGUGCCAGUGAAUCUAUUUGUCCUUGCAUUAUGGGGGGGGGUACAAGACAACAUUUUCGAGCUUGUUUCUGGAUCUGUAAUGUAGCCAAUUGAUGUUUUGGUCAAUAUUGCUUGUUAAGCAUACAUCUGAUUUGAAAUGGAAUAAGAAAAUGAACCUAUUUAGUGUC